GAAGAACGAGGGCGGCGGGCGUAACACAUGCAAGUCGAACGGAAAGGCCCUGCUUUUGUGGGGUGCUCGAGUGGCGAACGGGUGAGUAACACGUGAGUAACCUGCCCUUGACUUUGGGAUAACUUCAGGAAACUGGGGCUAAUACCGGAUAGGAGCUCCUGCUGCAUGGUGGGGGUUGGAAAGUUUCGGCGGUUGGGGAUGGACUCGCGGCUUAUCAGCUUGUUGGUGGGGUAGUGGCUUACCAAGGCUUUGACGGGUAGCCGGCCUGAGAGGGUGACCGGCCACAUUGGGACUGAGAUACGGCCCAGACUCCUACGGGAGGCAGCAGUGGGGAAUAUUGCACAAUGGGCGGAAGCCUGAUGCAGCAACGCCGCGUGCGGGAUGACGGCCUUCGGGUUGUAAACCGCUUUCGCCUGUGACGAAGCGUGAGUGACGGUAAUGGGUAAAGAAGCACCGGCUCCCUACGUU
rnacentral:rRNA from 1 species